CCUUCUCUGCUUACCUCGCUCCUCUAAUUUAAGGAAACAAAAACGAUUUUUUUUAAAGAUCCACUAAUAAUUUCCUCAUACGUUACAUGCAGCAGCAUCCCUAUAUAAACCCUAGACAAGGUCAUCAUCUCACCAUGUUUCAGUCGCAUCGAUUUGGUAGGUCAUCAGAGGAAUUACACGAAAAUCAUCAGGGUACUAAACAUCUUAGGCAACUCACCCCCUUCUCUACAAAUUCCACCAGAGUCUACACCAAUAUCGAACCCAGCGUCAUCAUAAUGUGAUGACAAAGGUGUUCGGAUGAUAGACCAUCCCGUGAUAUUACACUGCCCAUGAGGAGAAGGAAAGCACCUAUUGACAUUUCGAAUUUUGAUAUAUAGAAAAACUUUCGCAGAUUUCUAGCUCUCUGCAAACUGGAACCCCACUAACCUGGAUAAUGCAGAAGACGUGGUGCUAUAUGGGUUUUCACGAAUCUUACAUUCAGCUGUGGAUUGACAGUCACCAGACUCCCUGCUUCAAAAUUAUACCCUCAUUUCUUUCGAAGGCUAUUCACAGAAGUGGGACAACAAAUCGAUGCGUGUUAUAUUAUUCAGAUUGCUAUUUAUGACUCAUGAGUACACCUAUAGCAAAGCUGUGAAUUCGAUCAGUAAACAUUAACGGUUCCUAUCUCGAUUCUAAGGCCUAAUGUUGGUGGCAAGAAUAUUUGUUUCAAGGUCAUGGUACCAUUAUUUCUGUGCCGCAGUACUGGGGGUAAAAUUAUAGUCUAAUCUGAUCAUCUGAAAUUUUCAUCUUUGUAAAGGAUGUGCAAACACAAAAUAUUUAAUGCCAGUAAUUUCAGUAAUUCUAAAACAGUGAUUCACAGCUUAGACCGGUGUUUUGAUGGUCGGGGAAACCCAAUGUAAAAUUUUACUCAUCACAUAUGUUAGAUGAUGAAAAU